UGACUGUGUGAUUUACACCGGCGAUCACGAUGCCUCCCCUCAUUCCCUGACAGCUCACGCCACUGAUCGCUUUGGUGUCAACUUGCUUUACCCACCUAUGGUGGUGCAUCUGUAUAAAAGGAAAUGGGUGGAAGAAACUAGUUAUCCUCGCUUCACCAUGAUUGGUCAGAGCUUGGGUUCGAUUUAUCUUUCCUGGGAAGCUUUAUGCAAGUUUACUCCUUUGUAUUAUUUUGAUACUAGUGGUUACGCUUUCACUUAUCCUCUUGCUCGGAUUUUUGGUUGCAAAGUUAUUUGUUACACCCAUUAUCCUACUCUCAGUUUAGAUAUGAUUUCUCGUGUUCGCAAUCGGAAUUCCACGUACAACAAUGAUGCUUCAAUUGCCAGGAGUGGUUGGCUAUCACGGUGCAAAAUCAUCUAUUAUACAUUCUUUAGUUGGAUGUAUGGGUUUGCGGGCUCUUGUGCACAUCUUGCAAUGGUGAACUCCUCAUGGACACAAGCCCAUAUUGAAAAGCUUUGGAGAAUUCCAAAGCGUAUCAACCGAGUCUAUCCUCCUUGUGAUACAUCAGGGCUUCAGGCUCUUCCUUUGGAAAGGUCAGCAUCAACUCCAAUAUUUAUAUCUGUUGCUCAAUUCCGUCCUGAGAAGGCACAUCCUCUCCAACUUGAGGCUUUUUCAGUAGCCAUUAGAAAGCUUGAUCCUGACUUGCCAAGACCUAAGCUCCAUUUUGUGGGUAGUUGUCGAAACAAGUCUGAUGAAGAAAGACUACAGAAGUUGAAGGACAAAGCAGUUGAACUGAAGGUUGAUGGGGAUGUACAAUUCUAUAAAAAUGUGAUGUACAGGGACUUGAUGAGUCUUUUGGGAGGUGCCACUGUCGGAGUGCAUUCCAUGACAGACGAACACUUUGGAAUUAGUGUUGUAGAGUAUAUGGCUGCAGGCGCCAUACCAAUUGCUCAUAAUUCUGCUGGCCCAAAGAUGGAUAUUGUUUUGGAAGAAGAUGGCCAGCAAACUGGAUUUCUUGCCCAGAAUGUGGAAGAGUAUGCAGAUGCCAUCCUGAGAGUUUUAAGAAUGCCAGAAACUGAGAGACUCAAGAUGGCUGCAGCUGCAAGGAAACGGGCGAGCAGGUUUUCUGAACAAAGAUUUUAUGAGGAUUUUAAAGCUGCAGUUCGACCAAUGCUAGACCAUUCUAGAUGAUGGACUAGCAACUGAAACUAAUGUAACAUAUUUGUAACUGUAGAACAGAGGAGUUUUAGUUUUUACUUGUUUUUGCCUGGCUGUUCCCUUUUCUGCCAUUUGACCAAGUUAUUUGAGGUGGCGGCUCAAUUCCUUUUCUUUGGUCUGUAUUUUUUUUUUUUUUAAUUUCAUAUGUAGUUGAAGAAAUUCUAUCUGUAAACAAUUUUGGCGACAAUUUCACCCAAGAUUGAAAAUUUUCUGUUAAAAUUUUAUGGUGCUACUGAGGC
rnacentral:misc_RNA from 1 species